CGUGCAAGUCGAGGGGAACGAUAUUGGAAGCUUGCUUCCGAUAGGCGUCGACCGGCGCACGGGUGAGUAACGCGUAUCCAACCUGCCCACCACUUGGGGAUAACCUUGCGAAAGUAAGACUAAUACCCAAUGAUAUCUCUAGAAGACAUCUGAAAGAGAUUAAAGAUUUAUCGGUGAUGGAUGGGGAUGCGUCUGAUUAGCUUGUUGGCGGGGUAACGGCCCACCAAGGCGACGAUCAGUAGGGGUUCUGAGAGGAAGGUCCCCCACAUUGGAACUGAGACACGGUCCAAACUCCUACGGGAGGCAGCAGUGAGGAAUAUUGGUCAAUGGGCGAGAGCCUGAACCAGCCAAGUAGCGUGCAGGAUGACGGCCCUAUGGGUUGUAAACUGCUUUUAUAAGGGAAUAAAGUGAGCCUCGUGAGGCUUUUUGCAUGUACCUUAUGAAUAAGGACCGGCUAAUUCCGUGCCAGCAGCCGCGGUAAUACGGAAGGUCCGGGCGUUAUCCGGAUUUAUUGGGUUUAAAGGGAGCGUAGGCCGGAGAUUAAGCGUGUUGUGAAAUGUAGAUGCUCAACAUCUGCACUGCAGCGCGAACUGGUUUCCUUGAGUACGCACAAAGUGGGCGGAAUUCGUGGUGUAGCGGUGAAAUGCUUAGAUAUCACGAAGAACUCCGAUUGCGAAGGCAGCUCACUGGAGCGCAACUGACGCUGAAGCUCGAAAGUGCGGGUAUCGAACAGGAUUAGAUACCCUGGUAGUCCGCACGGUAAACGAUGGAUGCCCGCUGUUGGUCUGAAUAGGUCAGCGGCCAAGCGAAAGCAUUAAGCAUCCCACCUGGGGAGUACGCCGGCAACGGUGAAACUCAAAGGAAUUGACGGGGGCCCGCACAAGCGGAGGAACAUGUGGUUUAAUUCGAUGUUACGCGAG
rnacentral:rRNA from 1 species